ACGUAGGAGGCAAGCGUUAUCCGGAUUUACUGGGCGUAAAGCGCGUGCAGGUGGUUUGGUAAGUUGGAUGUGAAAUCUCCCGGCUCAACUGGGAGAGGUCGUUCAAAACUGCUAGACUAGAGGACGGUAGAGGAAAGUGGAAUUCCAGGUGUAGUGGUGAAAUGCGUAGAUAUCUGGAGGAACACCAGUGGCGAAAGCGACUUUCUGGCCCGUUCCUGACACUAAGACGCGAAAGCUAGGGUAGCAAACGGG
rnacentral:rRNA from 1 species